rnacentral:tRNA from 1 species
UCCCUGUUGGUCCAGUGAUUAAGACUCUGCACUGCCACUGCAAGGGGUGCAGGUUCGAUUCCUGGUCAGGGAA